rnacentral:lncRNA from 1 species
UGAGAAAAUGAAAGUAUUUUAGUUCUCAUUUCCAAGAUAUCAGGCUAAACUGAAACUUCAUAUUAUACUUAAAUUGAAACUGCAAAAAAAUAAGUGGUAGGUUUUUGUAAAUUUGACAAUCUUAAUUCGACCGAGAUAAAAGUUGUGCAUUUCGCUUUAUUGGAGGGUGAAAAUUGCAAUAAGUAUUAAUUCAGAGAUGUAGUCACGAAUAAUUUGAGACGGUCAAGGAAACUUACAAAGAGGCUGUAUGCACUUGCACAUUAGAGGAAGAAGGAACAUCCCAUAACCUCAAAUUGAUGACGGUUAGAUAUAUGCGAGGAUAAAAAGCAUAAAACUCUUCAUUGACAUUCCACAUUACUUAAAAUCUAACAUAUCAAACUUGCCAUCCCAACCAACGGCAGCAAGUAUUAUGAUCUAAACACGACCAAUUAUCUAAUCACUCAUAAAGGAAACAAAUGAAAACAUAUCAAAGCAAGAAAAUAUAAUCAUCUAAAUAGUAAAAAUUUACUCAAACUUGCAUCAAUCAUAAUCAAUCGUAAGGUCGCCGAAAAUAAAGUUAGAACCAAAACGAACAUAUCAAAGUAAGAAAAAAUAAUCAUCUAAACAGUAAAAAUUUACUCAAACUUGCAUCAAUCAUAAUCAAUCCUAAGGUCGCCAAAAAUAAAGUUAGAACCAAAACGAUAAAAGGAGAAUAACAUUCAAAAAGCGGAAUCGUAGUUAGAUAUGCUAAUUAUCAAUUCCGGAGUGGUAGAACUUUAGCCCGUGUCAGUACAGGUAGUUGUUGAGCAAGGUGAAAUCGUAGACAUUGAGCACAAUGGAGAACCCUUUCGACGACCGCGUUGAAAGGGUUCUUCCGAAGAGGAGAUCUAGGGUUUCAUUGAGCACAAUGGAAAAUCCUUUCGACGACUGCGUCGAAAGCGUCAAAAGGUUCUUCCCAAGAAGAGAUCUAGGGUUUCUCAUAACAGGGUUGGGAAGUGAAGCAUGAGAUCGGCGGUGAACGAAGCAGGAACGGAGCAAGGUCAGACAAAAGAGGAGCAAGGAGAGAGAGAACCGGGCGAGUGCAUUCACAGCUAGUAAUGAAAAGAUUGGCGGUCGGUGCGCCGCUGCGAGGACGGCCGCUAAGGAAGCAAGUACGCCCUUAGCGGCGCGUAGGAGGCGGAGGUGUACGGGAGAGGAGAGGUGCUCAGCGGCGCGUAGGGGGCGUAGGCGUCCGGAAGAGGUGGGCCCACCUCCGAAAUUAAGGAGAAGAGAGUAAGGGAGAGUAGGGUGCGGAGAAGAAUAGGGCCCAACAUCUCAGAGAGAGAAAAGGAGAGAGGGUAAGAGAGAGUAGGGUGCGGGAGGUCCGAAAUCACGGAGAACGCAGGAAAGGGGUUAAGGGAGAGACCCGAAAUCACGGAGAACGCAGCAAAGGGGUUAAGGGUUCACCCUUUAAUGAUAUUGGAUAGAAUUGGAUAGAUAAG